CCAGACUCCUACGGGAGGCAGCAGUGGGGGAUAUUGCACAAUGGGGGGAACCCUGACCCAGCGACGCCGCGUGAGGGAAGAAGGUUUUCGGAUUGUAAACCUCUGUCCUUGGUGACGAUAAUGACGGUAGCCAAGGAGGAAGCCACGGCUAACUACGUGCCAGCAGCCGCGGUAAUACGUAGGGGGCAAGCGUUAUCCGGAUUUACUGGGUGUAAAGGGAGCGCAGACGGCAGUGCAAGUCUGGAGUGAAAGCCCGGGGCCCAACCCCGGAACUGCUCUGGAAACUGUGCGGCUAGAGUACUGGAGGGGCAGGCGGAAUUCCUAGUGUAGCGGUGAAAUGCGUAGAUAUUAGGAGGAACACCAGUGGCGAAGGCGGCCUGCUGGACAGUAACUGACGUUGAGGCUCGAAAGCGUGGGGAGCAAACAGGAUUAGAUACCCUUGUA
rnacentral:rRNA from 1 species